rnacentral:sRNA from 1 species
AUAAAUCCUAAAAAACUUAUACGCAUAUUAGUACAAAACUAUAUGUCCAUCAUAGACGCAUCAUCAUUCUCAAUGAGUUUUGAAAUGAUGUUUACCAUCGAACAAUAUUUUUUUUUUCCCAUCCAAAUUACCUUUUUCCUUAAACAGUAACAUUUUCAAGGUGAUGUGCAUAUAUAUAAAGUCUAUUAUAAGUAAUUACUAUGUGAUAUAUGUAAUGCUAAGAGGGUAAUCCCAAUUAAUUAAUACUUUAUACUAUGACAAGAUAAAAUGACUUUACAACCAAGUUAGAUUUAUUUUUAAAAAUGUAGAAACAUCUUGAUUUGAUUUAUCUAACUUGGAUGAGAAAAAGACUAUAAUUUUGAUAUGUGUUCACAAAAAGAAAAAAUACUUUGAAAUUUUGUAAUCAAAUUGAAAAUCUCUUUAUUUAUGGGGAGAUUUGCAAAACUGCCCUUAUUCUAAUAACCUUUUGCAAAAAUGCCCUUUCCUAAAGGCCAUUUUUAAAACUACUAUUUCUAAUGUGGCAAAUGACGGUCUUACCCUUACUGAAUAAUUAGGUUUCACAUUCAUUUUGACAAACUUCUUCGUUUUGGCCGACGAUUUUUUCUCUCCGAUAAAACUCAAAAUCGCCGACAAAUUUUUCUCUCCGAGAAACCUCAAAAUCGCCGACGAAUUGUUUUCUCCGAGAAAUCUCAAAAUCGCCGACGAAUUGUUCUCUCCGAGAAACCUCAAAUUCGCCGACGAAUAGAUCUCUCCGAUAAACCUGUUCUUCGCUGACGGAUUCAGAUCAUUUCUCUACGACGCAAACAAUCCCUAGAGAUAUUGAUAGAUCCGACGGUAACCGUUUUAUAAUCGAUUUUAUAGUCGAUUUUAUAGUAAAUCUGAUG